rnacentral:lncRNA from 1 species
AAUUUCAAUAAAUAAUAGUAUUAAGUGCAAUCAAAUACAAUAUACCAAAAAUGUAGGGUUAAUCUAAAUGAUUACUAAGAACAUCAUUAGCCUAUUCAAAAAGUUGAUGUCAAUAUACCAAAAGUAUCGAUUACCACUCCAAAAAUAAUUUAUUAAAAUAGUACAAAAUAUCGACCCAUAUUGAAGACAUCCCACAAUCAUGGUGAUCUCUUGUUGGCAAGUAAGCAUUGGACCAGUUUUGCAGCUUGUAACAGGGUCAGUGGAUACCAGAUCGCGGAUGCCAUAGCUUUAUUUUAGUUUGUGAGGCUGAGGAGUCCUGAAAUAAAAAAUAAAGAGAAAAAGUAACUGAUCAUGGUGUACCUUUUUAAAAUAAAUACCAAGUGACAAACAUCAAGUCCAGUUCCUAACAAAGCAAAGAAAUAAAGCUAUCAACAUCAAAUUCAUAUUCUCGGAGUGUCAUCAUGAAAAGUUUUAACAUGAAUAAUCAAUUUUAAUAAGCAAGCUUUUGCAAUGCCAUGAGAUUUAUUUGCUUGCGAACCAAUCUAUUUUGAAAACACAGCAGCAUAUUGCCCUUAAAGAGGAAGAUAGGCCAAGUUAGGAAGUUCAUAUUUAAACAGGAAGUUUAACUUUUGAAACUUCAAAAAAUUAAGCAGCAAAUAUUCCAAUUAAGUUUUUGACUUAUCACUGCCCAAGGAUCACUCGACUAAAUAAAGAAUAAUGCAUACACAAUGAUUUGCAAAAUGUACAUAAAUUCAGUUGGCUUGGCAGUGCU